rnacentral:rRNA from 1 species
GGGGAUCUUGCGCUAUGGCCGAAAGGCUGACGCAGCGACGCCGCGUGAGGGAUGACGGCCUUCGGGUUGUAAACCUCUGUUGCCCGGGACGAACAGCCGCAUUCGUGCGGCCUGACGGUACCGGGUGAGGAAGCACCGGCUAACUCUGUGCCAGCAGCCGCGGUAAUACAGAGGGUGCGAGCGUUGUCCGGAAUCACUGGGCGUAAAGGGCGCGUAGGCGGCCCCUUAAGCGGGUGGUGAAAGCGCGGUGCUCAACCCCGCGUCGGCCAUGCGAACUGGGGGGCUGGAGCACGUCAGAGGCAGGCGGAAUUCCGGGUGUAGCGGUGGUAUGCGUAGAGAUCCGGAAGAACACCGGUGGCGAAGGCGGCCUGCUGGGACGUGGCUGACGCUGAGGCGCGACAGCGUGGGGGAGGCAACACAGGAUUUAGAUUACCUUGGUUAGUCCCACGCUGUAACGAUGGGUACUAGGGUGCUGGGGGGAGCGACCCCCCCUGGGGUGCCGGCGCUAACGCAUUAAGUACCCGCCUGGGGUGUACGGCCGUCAAGGCUGAACUCAAAGGAAUUG